UGCAAAGGCCAGUGGGCGAUGAGCAGUCAAGUGACGCGAGUGAGAGAUGGCCCUGGGUGAGGGCAGGGUGCACCUUUGAGCCCUGUCUCAGCGUGUGCUCGGUUCUGUUUCUUCUUCAGGUGCUGAUUGGGUUCGCGACUCGGGGGAAGUGAAGGUGUGGAGAGCUCUGAGGAGGCCCUGCCCUCUGCCUUAGGUUUGGGAUGAAGGCUUGAGGGGAGGCCCCACAUCACACUCUGGAAGCCGUUUGCGACAGG